CCUACGGGAGGCAGCAGUGAGGAAUAUUGGUCAAUGGACGCAAGUCUGAACCAGCCAUGCCGCGUGCAGGAAGACGGCUCUAUGAGUUGUAAACUGCUUUUGUACGAGGGUAAAUCCCGAUACGUGUAUCGGGUUGAAAGUAUCGUACGAAUAAGGAUCGGCUAACUCCGUGCCAGCAGCCGCGGUAAUACGGAGGAUUCAAGCGUUAUCCGGAUUUAUUGGGUUUAAAGGGUGCGUAGGCGGUUCGAUAAGUUAGAGGUGAAAUCCCGGGGCUCAACUCCGGCACUGCCUCUGAUACUGUCGGGCUAGAGUUUAGUUGCGGUAGGCGGAAUGUAUGGUGUAGCGGUGAAAUGCAUAGAGAUCAUACAGAACACCGAUUGCGAAGGCAGCUUACCAAACUACGACUGACGUUGAGGCACGAAAGCGUGGGGAGCGAACAGGAUUAGAUACCCGAGUAGUC
rnacentral:rRNA from 1 species